UUUUUUGUUAUGUGGUUCAGAUGAGGAACCUCAGUUGAAAGAAACUGUUAAGGAAUGGUAAAUUGGGGUACAUUUUUCUGCAGCAGUUAAAGAGAAUAAGACAAAUCUAUCAUGAAAUGAAAAAAUAUUCAUGACAGUAAGUGAAAAGUUGAGGACAAAAUAUAUAGUAUGAUCCUAUUUUGUCUUAAAAGCAAAUCCCAAAGCAGAACUAUAGCUGGUAAUUACAUGUGUAAAUUUACAGACAGAGGCCUAGAAGUUUCUCAUUAAAACUCUUAACUGGCUACAUCUGCUAAGGCAAGUAGGGGAUGGGCAAAGAUUUCUGCUUUUUAUUCUGUGUACCUUUGCAGUUGAAAUUUUUUUUGCAGUGAAACAACUGAACAUUUGUGUACGUAUUUAACAAAUUGGGAUGAGUACUAUGCAAGCAUAUAAUAAAGAAAACUCACUUGGGGGAAGUCACAGGAAUCUGCAUCUGGACGAGCUCUCAUUCUCCGGGGCUUUUCUGCUAUAGGAAUCUACGGCGGAUCCGGAAGUGUCAGCGUGGUCGAGAGCAGCAGGAAAAGGAAGGGAAGGAAGGAAACAGUAAGAAGACCAUGGAGAAUGUGGAUAGUCUGGAUAAGCUGGAGUGUAGAUUCAAGCUGAAUUCCUACAAGAUGGUGUAUGUGAUCAAAUCAGAGGACUAUAUGUAUCGGAGGACUGCCCUGCUCCGGGCUCAUCAGUCCCAUGAGCGUGUAAGCAAGCGUCUACAUCAGAGAUUCCAGGCCUGGGUAGAUAAAUGGACCAAGGAGCAUGUGCCCCGUGAAAUGGCAGCAGAGACCAGCAAGUGGCUCAUGGGUGAGGGGCUGGAGGGCCUGGUGCCCUGUACCACCACCUGUGAUACAGAGACCCUGCAUUUUGUGAGCAUUAACAAGUAUCGUGUCAAAUACGGCACAGUAUUCAAAGCCCCU
rnacentral:sRNA from 1 species